rnacentral:rRNA from 1 species
UACAGAGACCUCAAGCGUUAUCCGGAUUCACUGGGCGUAAAGCGUCCGCAGGUGGUUCAAUAAGUCGUUUGUCAAAUCCCGGUGCUCAACAUCGGAACUGCGAACGAUACUGUUGAACUUGAGGAUGGAAGAGGUAAGAGGAACUGCUGGUGUAGUAGUAAAAUGCGUUAAUAUCAGCAGGAACACCAAAGGCGAAGGCAUCUUACUGGGACAUUCCUGACACUCAUGGACGAAAGCGUGGGGAGCAAAACGG